CAGAGGAGAGAUACUUCCACUACUAAAAUGUUUGUCUCCCACAGAUCCUGUAUUCAUGUUCAGAUGUUUGACAGCAGAGAUAUGUAACUAAUAAAGGAGUUUGCUGUCAUGCUUUACAUGCUAAUUAUCUACUUUAGUUGCUUGAAAACAAAAUUAAAGACCCAGCUCUGAUAAAGCAGCUGUCUAAGUGUGAAACCUCUAUGUAAUGAAUGGGUUUUGGUGCAGGGCUUUUAUUGUCAUCCUAAUUUUAACCUACAGUGACGUUGAAUAUGAUGAAAUAUUUCUACCAAUUACUUUGUUCCACUUUAUGUACAUGCAAUAGCUAUGCAAAGACAUGAUUUACAGGAGAAAAAGCAACAUACAAACGUGCAAAGCUUGUUCAUGUAUUUCAUAUAAAUAAACAAUUUGAGACAAUGUCAACAUAAUGUUUGAAAUUGGAAAUGCAAAACUACAUCCUGGUGUGUGGAACCGGCUGCAUGGUUGCUGAAUUAUUCAUUUACAGACAUCGCAGACAAGCAUUUGUAUGUAAAUUUGUUUAUGUGUGUGAGCCUACAUGCAUGUUUUAUGUUGCUGCAAAGCUAGAAACAGAAGCGAUGGAUGGAUGGAUGGAUGGAUGGAUGGAUGGAUAGAUGGAUAGAUGGAUAGAUGGAUAGAUAGAUAGAUAGAUAGAUAGUUUACAUGUGCAGUUGUGCUUUCAAUGGUCCAUUAGACUGUCACUGCAAACACACUGCAUUCCUGAAUACAGCCUCCAAAGGGAAAGCUACACCCACAGACCCAGCAGAGGACUGGUCUUCCCUCGCCCCGGCCCCUGAUAAUCAGCCUGCCAACCACAAUGUGUCUUGACUUCAUCUCUCAGCAGUUAGCCAUAGCUCACGGUGAGUCAUUGACUUGAAAACAGAGCUGCAGUCUGCCACGACAUAAGCUUAAAAGUAAUCGUUCUACUAUGCAGAGUCAAUACUGGUUUUCCUCUUCCUGCGUGAGUGUGUGUUUAAGAAAGAGAGAGAGAGAGGGCGAGAGGGAAAAUGAUGUAGACACAGGAAAGUAAGGCAGAAGCUACAGCGAGGGAAAGGGAGAGGAAAAAACAGCAGCAGUUGUGUGUCAGGCCCAGGAAUGAGCUGUAACCUAAUGAGUGCAGAUGAAAGCUGACUGUCUGAGCUAACUCAAUUCUUUGCUCUGCUAGUCACACUUCUUUGCUUAAUGAUGUUUGCUCCUGACUACUGAUGCCCCAGCGCGAUGCUGGAUUGCCUUUUUUUGGUCAAACGUUUUUCCGCCUCUCGCAUAUGCAGAAUGUUGAACUUGGCUCGCACCAAACAGGGGCUGACAUCACCCACACUGUGAGGCAGACAUCCGUUUAAGACAUGUUUACAAGUGGUGAAACCGCCGGCAUGCCUCUAUCCUAACUCGUAUAAACACAGAAUGGGGCUGACCAUGUGCACGCUCCUAUGUGUGUGCGCAGUGUUUACACAGAACAGAUAGAGAAAUAUCACCAGAGCAGGAGGUAAGGCUGCAAUCUGUGGGGUUGUGGUUAAAAAACAGAGCAGGACUAUAGCAACACGAGGGCGAGGAUGUUCCUGGGAGGUCUUUGUAGGGGGAUCAGGGAGUUUUUUAGGGGGCAAGGUGUUGUGUGUACACAGAGGUGAGGAGGAAUGUUGUAAAGCUGUUUGUGGAGUCAGCAGGCCAAUGAAAAAGCUCAGUUGUUGGAGCUCAGCCAGAGCUGUGAUGGGGAAAAAUCAAGAACAGAAGAAAACUAGAGGAAUGGGAAUGAAAGAAAAGAGGAAUGUGAUCUAUAAAAAGAGAAAAUCUCAGGCGUGUUGUCUGUUGAGGAGAGUUUUACACUCGCUAUAAGAAUGCAGUCUCGGGUCAAUGAAAUCUGGGAGCUCUCUUUAGAAUUCAAUCAAAGCCUUUCUUGCACCUCUGCAGCAGUUUUACCAUAUCCAGCUCUACUGCAGGUUUGCAUUCAUCCUCUUUGUUUCAUACAGCCGAUCAGCUGAACAUCUGUUUCACACAGCACUGUGGUUCCUGCACACAUUCCUACACCCAUCUUUACCUGCCAGGUGUCUGUGUGUUUGUCGUCCUGUAGGGACCAAAUUAAACCAUAUGCAUUGCAUAAUCUUUCCCUCUCCAGGCUGAGAGUGUGAAAUAAAGACAGCUGCAAAAAAAAAAAUGAAAACAUCCACAAUAAUAGAGUAAACUCAUCAAAUAACAGUGCUUCCUCUUUUUUGUUCAACGUAUUAUUGGUUAAUAUCAAAUCCCAUUAAAUCACUUUAUAUAAAUUUCAAGGUUUCGGCAAUAAAACGCUGCAGGAUUUGUGAGCCGCCCCCUUCACGUGAGAUAGAUGUCAGAAAGGUUAAUUCAGGAGUCAGAAUGGAAAUAAUGUAAUCAUGGUGGAGAGACAAAAAAACAAAAAUGUGACAAUAGAUGGUUGCAUGUGAAAGAACAAGAGCUGAGAGGGGUUGAUGGAGAAAUAACUAUUCUAAUGCAGCAAACAUGGCUCAGAGGUAGGGAAGGUUUCUUUCAUUUGGGAAGGUCAGUCCUUGAUUCCUCCAAUCCACAUUUUGAGGUAUGCAUGGCCUGAAUAAAAAAAAAAAAAAAAAUCCUCAGCCUGAAAAUUUGUUUUGAGGUUUGGGGGAGCUGAGAGACUGCAGAUUCACUUCUCUAUAACACUGAUGUAUUCGUAUGAUGGAGUGCAUGCACAGCAGCUUUUGGUCGAGGUGGUUCCCUCUGUGCUGUGUGCGCAUAAGCAAAACAUUUUAGGGAUUUUAGGAAGUGUAUCAUCAGAUCUCACAUUAAAAGGGUGUUUUAUUCUGGAACAAAUUGGUCUAACAGAAUUAAAUACAGCAUGAGAAUGAACACAGUUAAAAGCAAAGUUAUUCGUUGCAUAUUUUGUAUAAUUUUAUGCACCAAUUUAUCAUAAAAUUGUACAAGUAUUUUUUAAAAGGAAAACUUAUUUCUCUUAAAUAAUAAAUGUUUGGUUCUCCCUGCAUGCUUGCUGAACUUCCCAUUCUAAUAAAUGCUGUUAUUCAUAUGUUAAACUAAAGACGCUCAUUACAGACAGAGAGAGGUUCCCUUCUUUUCCAAAGCUGAACUAUUGGGCCUUACUGAAUUAUAAAUGAUCAGAUUAUGAUUGGAAACAUUUUUUGGUUUGUUGAUAUACUUAUGCAUUUUUCAUGAUUAUCCACAGGUCUGAAACACAGUCAUAUCGAGCUGUUUACAUGACCUGACUGUAGCCUAUUAGCUUAUUAGUAUUAUGACCUCCGCUGUCUCCCUCUCUGCCCAAGCGAAUAUUUAUGCCGAUAACACAUUUUAUUUAUUUUUUUAUCAGUGCCAGAAUACUUUAAACUUUGGGUUUACUUUUGCACCUUGAGUGGUUAAAAAAUCAGUAAUGCAAUGAAGUCAGUAAAGUCCGGUUGUAAUUUCCAUUUUUAAGAACAGCGUAUAGGGAUGGGAUAUUUACUAAUUGCUCUCCUACUUACUCUUAUGGGGCGCUCACACCAAGUGCGAGUUUAAUCAUCUACUGGCUUAAUUCGCAGGAAUCUAGAUGCUGAUUUUAACGGUAAUCCCUGCCAAUUCAACCAGAAGGAUCAAGUGAUAGACAAAGGUUUUUUACAAUUUACCAGGUAAUCCGACCUGCUCACUCACUUGCCUCCAGGCAAUCUCCUUUUUAUUCCGGUUUCGGUAAUUCAAAGAAAAAGUAUCAUAUAAUUCGGGGCACCAACACACCGACACGGUCAGUUUGUCCUCCAUUUUAGAUACGAGUGAACAGCUGUCCAUUUUCAUACGUCACUCGGCAAUCUUCGUGCUGAUUUGUUAUCGCAACGCGGAUAUGUGCUCAAGUUGAGACAUUUCCAGCUCACGUCCAAUUCACGUCAUUCGCACGGCCAGAGUAGUAGGAUUGUCUUAUCGCGUCUUUGCAUUGACUUAUAAUUCAUUCGCUCAAAUGAUUUUAUUCACGCUUGGUGUGUUAGAGUUAGAGGACAGGAAAGCAAUGUGAUGCAUGACCAUGACAAUCUUCCAUUUGUCAAGUCUGUCCUGUGCAAUGGUAGAAAAAUUGCAGUGCAAGAUUGCAACCCCUGUGAGAAGGCACCUGCUCCAGGUCUAAGUAGCUAAUUACUUCAUAACCCGACACUGUAAGGGGGGGGUUAAUUUUUGUAACUCAUCAAAUUAGGAGAUAUUAUGACAAACAGAUUUACACACACUUGCAAAAAGGCAGUUGAGUCAAGGCCUGCCUCCAAAGUUAGGUUGAGUCCAGCGUUUUCAUGGCAUACAACACUGUUUGGCUUCAAAACAUCCAUUCAGGCACCGAUGAGCGACAACGCAGAGACAACCAGUCCGUAAGAAUCACUGAAGCAAUCAAAAUCCAUCCAAACGUUCCCCACAUAUUUCAUUUAAAGCCAGAGUUGCGAAGCUGUUCAGGGAUGAGAUAUUGAGCCUUGAACAAAGGCUUUACCUUCCCCGAAGCCAAGCGGAGAGUUUAGCUAAAAUGCAGAAAUGUGUUAAUUUAAAGGAGAGGCAUGAAACGAUGAUGAUACUUUCAUUAAAAGACUAAGUAGUGCUUUGAAUUACAAAGCACAUUAGAAACUGUGCCACAGAGCGAGAAGUGAAUCUAUACGGGUUCAUUUUAGAUUUAUCUCCAUCUGAGCAAAAAUCCAAUUUAGAUCCACCCCUCCUUGACCACAUAGCAAUCCAACCUCCCCUUCAUGGUGCAACAUAACUCAAGGACAGUGAGUCAGCCAGUCAAUAUGAGCCUAAUCUAAUCCUUGGUGCAGAAAUCUGAGCCGCCAUGAGACAAGCAGAAAGCUGUGAUGUCACAGGGCGAGACCUCCACACUGUCUACCUGCAGAGACAGGAUGGGGGUGGGGGGUGGGAGUAGGAGGAGGGAAGAGGAAGAGGAAGCUUCACUCACUCUUACACUGAGGUCUUUUUUUUCUUGUCUGAACGCAGCGAAGCACAAAGUCAGGACAUUAGGAUCAUGUCGCCCAGAAUCGCCACCAAGGGAGGAGGGGUGGGGGAGCGACUGACCAAUGAGGAAGAAGGCAGAGAUGAAUAAGGAACAGGUGAAAAGACCACCAACACAUGGACAAAUACAUAAAGCAUGGGAACACAUGCACACAUUAUGAGUUAUAUUUGCCUGCCCACAGUAUUUUUGCUGUAAAUCUCCUCAGAAACAAACAGGAUGACCCUCCUCCACCACAGAACAAACACUUGAAUUCUUGGCGCUGCUGCCUCUCUAGUCUAGUGAGCACCUCCAAACAUGAUCUCUCCUUAUUUCCUUUCUUUAUUUUCUCAGAACCAAACCGACUGAGACAAAUUCCUGCGGAUGUGUUAUUUUGGAGAGCUGUUGACCACUACUGGAAUAGCUGGCAGAGUAUGUCCAGGAUUUUGGUGCCAAUGCAUACAUGCCAGAAGUCAAAGACACCACAGAGAAAAGCCAUCACUCUUCACCUCUGACACUGAGACCAAAUAUAGAGCGGUAUUUAAAAAUUGAAACAUCAGGAUGAUUUUUUUUUCCUGUCACUUUAUCUUACUUGUUAUCUAAGCAGCAGCCUUGAGUGCUGACAAAUGAAGCCGACACGGGGGUGCAAAAGAGGUGCAGUUUUUAAAGUGUUUACCUGAAGCCCACUCUGACAGCCAAAAGAAAAUAAAUGAAUAGAUAAAAAUAAAAUCCUUUAGGCUCCGUACCUCUAUGCUCAUAUUUAUGGGGCAAACUGACAUGUUUACAACCUGUAAUAAAUAACAGCUUGGUCUCCUUUCAUGAAGAGCGUACAGGUAGUAAAUUUUAGUGUAACUUACCUUUUUCAAUAAUAUCUAGCCUUGAAGUUAUGAAGCGCUGUCAUGAAGUGAACCCUGCAGGCUUUCUGCUUGACAUCAACACAGUCGGAGUUUCAACAGCUUAUCAACUAGUUAACAAGAGAACUACUUAAACUUUUAGCCUGUGCAGUAGGGAACAUUUAGCUAUGAGCAGGGAAGGGGGCUGGGCUCAGUUAAACAGGCUUGGAAGAACCUUACUGCUGAUGAUGUUGACACCCACCUGUUACCUUUCUUGAGAAACCAGUGGAAUGCAGCUCCGAGGGGUAGACAAAGGUAAACUAGCUCAUUUACCAGCCAAUCAAUUAGCAGCUGGUAUAAACGAGUAAGCUUUGAGGGGUUCACAUCUGCUAACCCUUUGCUCUUUACCAGCAUUAUCCUCUACCUAUAAUAUAGGGGAUUCAGGCGUCACAAAAACCAAUGAACGGCACUGUAGUUAAGGUGACGAGAUGUACGCGAUUUACGGGGGAAGUCUCUGUUUUGGAUGACCUGUCCCCCACUAAAGCUGUCCCCGUAAAUAUCCCAGAUUUAAGCAUUUCAUGAAUGAAAUAAAAAAAAAGUUGUGUGCAGACUAGAACAACGGUUAUUACAGUAGCCGAAUGGGUAGGAAGUGCGAGUAUGCAUUUCCCGCGCAGUCCUUAGCAACAGUUUUUACAGUGGGGUUAUUAUGGCAGAGCUGCCAAGCGUCACGCUUUGAGUGUGACAGUCACGCAAUUUGACCCAUUCUCACACACUUGAUGCCACACUUGACAUUUCUCACGCCUAUUUUCCCCCAUUCAAUACUCCGAGAUAACCAAUCCAUCAGCCCUUCUCAUUCUUAACCAAACACGAAAGGCACCACGCAAUAUAAACCAAUCAGAAGAAACAUAAGGCGGGUCUUGGCAUCUCUGUCAUCGAGGCAUCAAAAUCUGCAACAAACUCCUACAACACAAGACAUGUUCCAAGCUAAAUGAUGGAGAGUUGGUUGAAAUGCAAUAUUAGCAAAUAGACAUAUUUUGUUAAAAUUUUUGUGAUUAUUUUCAUUUCUAAUUUCUGGUAAAUUAAGACUAGCAUUAGGAGGCCACAGUACAGGGACAGCAGCUGGCAUGGAGGUGAGGACAUCAGUCUUCAGGUAUAAAUUGACAUUAAAAAGGCAUUUUUUUUUUUGCCGAAUACAUCAUAACACUGAAGUCUUACCCCACCCCUGGUUGUCCUCAGAUUUCAUUACAGAAAUCUGGUAACCUUAACCGUGCCGGCUUUAGCCUCUACAGUCCCUUAUUUAUAUCUUGCUGAAUUUUCUGCCACCAAAGGGUUAAAUGCUGUUUGUCUCAGCUUAACAUAUUGUUCCCUUCAAGGGCUCAUCCUCAACUUUUUUUUCUUCAGCGCAAAGGCAGAUUAAAGUGACGUCCUCUGUAGUGCCGAGAGAUCUCCCCGUCCCCUGACACUGUAUGACACCAAUUAGAAAGAAGUGGAUAUGACAAGACAUUGGUCAAAGCAAUACAACUGGAAAAAAAAAUCUCUCUAGCAGUGCUUUUUUGUCUUAUAGUAUGGUCAGAAAUAGAGGUAAAAAAACAGAGACAAGACAAGGGAAAGGCAAGAACGAAAAGAUUGAAAAAAGGAAGAAUACAGGAGAAAGAGAGGCAGAUGUCAGUGUUGGAAAUGGACGUUUUCUGUCGUCAGCCCACACUUGACUGUCAGCUGCCAAAGCUGCCAGCUCAGACCUCACAGAGAAGGAGUGACAAGAGUGCUGAUGUGCUGUUAGAGCGCUUGGAAAUAAGAGAAAUAAAGGCUACCCUCCCUUUUUUUGCAGUUUAAACUAAGUACAGUCUUUUACAAAUCACCACAGAGACAUACAAGACACUCAUUGUCUCCUUUUACCCGGCUUAACCAUUACAAUGUGUUUGACAAAAAAUAACCUGUUUCACAGCUCCCAGGUUCCCCCACAUGAGCAGCAUGAUGUCAUCAAGUCAAGACAGGAGGGCCAUUAUUUUGUACAUGGAUUGGUAAUGCUCACAUUUGUACAAGUCUGGCGAUGUCGGUAAUGAAACAAGAGGAGACUUUGAAAAGGCCCCGAGGUGUACGGAGUGUGUGUGUGUUUAUGAGUGUGUGUGCAGAGAAAAUAACUCCUCUGAAGAAAACUGCCACCUGCUGAAAUGAAUGAUAGCAAUUCACAUCGGUUCAGAAUGACAAGGAAGGCAAAUCACACGCAGAUGUUGCUGUUCUGAGAGGACCCCUGUGUGUCACACAGCUGCCAGUUUAAUGUGGGUAACAAGUUUCAUAGCUUGUAAAAAAACAAAAGUAAAAAAAAAACACUUUUGAGCUACCGUUCAGGAAAACGAAAGCAGGCAGCAGCUAACUGCAGGUCUGACCGCGAACUACAUGAGAAAGUACGCGUACACCAGCCAUGUAUUAUUUAAAAACCUGCUCUCGGCCAAGAUCACAGCGGAGCAGCGCUACAGCAGAGACAUUGUGCACUCUUAACAAACAGAUGUGAAGCAUUUUAGCUGAAGUCUCGACAUAGGUUUUACUCAACUGACCCUGAGAGCUGGCUAUCAGUAGCUGAAGUGAAAACAUGGCAGGGUCAGGUAUCAGCCUCCCUCUGAGGCCAGGAAGUCUUAGCUCUGCAACGUGUCCAGUGACUAGCGUAGCGAUUAGCUGACAGUUAGCUGAACUGACUUUUUUUUUUUUUUUUAAUUUAUACGUCCCAGCAGACAGCAGAGGCAAUCAUAUCAGUAACGCUGAGAAAGCCUGACACAGCAUUUACUACCGGCGUAGUGUAAAACAAGCCUCAAGAGCUGGAGUGACCGAAAAUGAAAGGGAUCCUCAAUAGGGCACAGACUAUUAAAAGAAAGACAAGGCGUAGGUGCGCGGUUCAAACACGGGGUCCAGAACUACCUGCUACUCUAAACAUACUAGAAGAAGUGGGUUCAGGUUGUAAUAAUAUGAAAUGGUUGGUGUUUUGGUUGUCAAUUUGGGUUUCACAGGUUACAUUUUGAAUGAGGAAGUCUUUUCUUAUAAAUUCUGACAUUUACUUUCUUUGUGCAGUAGUCAGGAGGAAAAGAAAGGGGGAACUUAAUUUGACCGCAUUUUUGACACAGAUAGAACAGCAUGAGAACACAUGGUUCUCUUACUGAACUGUGACCGUAUAGUAAAUUAGCCGGAAAGGACUAACUUCCUUUUACAGCAAAUGAUUAAGGUUUACAUGGCUUUAAUGGCCAAGAACAUUUGGAACAGGAAAAACUAGCCAUUUGGACUUCUGGGUUAACUUUAAAACAAUUUUUCAGUCAAAAAAAUAUAUAUAUCCAGUCCUCUCCAUGACCCCUCCCUCUCAAUGAGGAGGGAGAAAGCAGGUAAAGCCCUCAAUCUCACCCGUAUAUCAGCAUGCCAGUUUGACUGCUGCUGAAACUCCUGAUGAAUUAUUAAAACAGCCCCUGACUCCGGCCUAAGAGAACAUAUCUGAAUUUGAAGUUUGGAAGAACAUAAAGGAGACAUGAUUGAAAAAGAGACAGAGCAAGAUGGGGAGGGUUGGCUUGGAUGAUGAUACAGGAAUAUAGAGGGCUAAAGGAGACAGGAAAGGCCUGAAAAAUGAAGCGCAGAAAGGUCACGAAAAGAGCAUUAAAAGUGCAAGAGACUUACGGCAACUCUCACUUAUAGACGAGCUCGACAACUGUCGCAGUUCGCUGUAAAGAAAGACUGUCUCAUCCAGAUUUACACUUCUACACUUUUCCUGCCUCCAUGUCAUGUGAUAGACAGCUAAACACUCAUAAGCCAGCUCGCUUCAUCGGGGUUUGACCCAAUUAACAAACUGUCAAAUGUGAGCCAUGUUGAUAAUUGGUGCAGAGUUGUGGUGAUGAAGCUCUAAGUGUGUCACCUUCCAGAAGUGGGGCAGUUUAAGCUACAGGGGCUAAUGGGAACACUCGCUCACAACAUACCAGCGUGAGACCAACGCAGGCACCCACGGCAUACGCACCAAGGAGGUUCAACUGCGAAUGAUAACCAAUUAUUGUUUGUUAGGCCAAGAUAGAUACUCAUAUUUGAAGUGUUUCUGUAUGUUUUUGUAGGGUGUUUUUCCUCCAUUGUGUGUGUGUGUGUGUCUCGUGGUUCAUUAGGGACCAGUUGCCCAUAAGAACAACAGGAAUAAAUGAACAGAAGUGCAACUGGUAGAUACAGUCCAUCACCUUCUCAUUUCUUCAUCCUACACAAAGAUGCACCCACACACAUAUAGAGGCAAACACACUUUCACGUUUAAAGGCAACAUGCAGACUAUGACCAAAGGACAAAAAACAGGUCCCCUUUGUAUUAUCAGGUCUAGUCAUUCUUAGUCAUAGUACCUCCUUUCCUCCUACUUCUACUUAUUUAAUGACCCUUUGUCUAUCAUCUGACAUCAAUUGGCAUUCAGUUGUUAUUUGACUGAUUCAUAUUUUUCAUCACUUUUUACCAUACUGUAAGUUUGAUUAAUUUUCCUGUUUACUACACGUCUAAUUUUAUUAAUGCUACAUGAUUGUAUCAAUGCAGUUUGCUGUAUAUACACUGUGGGACACUUUUAGAGCCACAGCCAUUUUUAUUAGAUUUGGGUAAAGACUGCCCUCUGCUGGAGUGAAUUUGUAAAUGGCAUCUAUGUCGGUGCACAACAGGCUGCUGGACAUAACUGUUUAUUUAUGGUUUAUAUUCAAAUAGCAUUGAAAAUAUAAGACUUUGUUUUUCUGGUGUCUGCAACUGUGUGAGAAUUUUACAUUUAUAAAGACAGACAUGAGCAUCUUUGUUGCAAACACACUCUUAUAUGUAAAAAUGUUAUUUUCAAACACAUUAUUUUUUGCAAAAAGGACCUAAAUAAUUCAAUUUUCUCCUGAUUCUUUUUCGCUCUGCAGAGGAUGAAACAGAGGGCAGUGUUGUAAAAUGUGUAACUCAUUUCAUACUCUCACUAAAAGAAAUAAAAAAUAGAUGACUGAAUGAAUAAUCAAACAUGGGGGACUACAGGGGGACCAGAAGACUAAUGAAUGGCUCUGACAAGGUCAACAGGAGAAAAAAAAAGAUUUAUACCAACCUUUUUGUCUGGAUUUCCUCCAAUAGAACAAACUCUAACCUGGUGAAAAGGAGUUUUAAGAAAUUUGCUUGAUUUGAAUGUGUUGAAUUAUAAUUUUAGGUAAUAAUUCUGUAACAUAACUCAUGACCACAACAGCCUUACGGCCCUUUAUGGUUUUAAAGUUAAUCCACUUGCUAUGAAGCCAAUGGCUCCCAGCUUUCACCUGAAAUCGAGAUAUGAAGAAAUCAAGCUGUAGGAGGGGAUGAUGUAAUCGCCGGUAUUCACACUCCGUCUGCAGGGCUAGAGAUAAUUGAAGGACACAGGAAGUCUAUGAAAGAUAGCGGAGAAAAAUAUUGUGUGACUGUCGGGAGGCUGGAGGGCUCAAUCGCUCGAGUGUCUUUUCGAGUGCCUCGAGUGUCAAGGCCCCACCAGUUCAUCUCUACCUCAGACAAUAACAGUCAAUACGGCUUUUCUGUCAUUCACUCUCAAUCAUUUUUACUUACUACAUGCUCAGUACAAUAUAAAGAUUUGUGUACUUUCAAGGGCUGCGACAUAGUCUGCAUACCUCUGAAAAUAGUUCAAUAUUUGAAAACCGCCAGACACCAGCCUCAUUGUGCAGUGAUACAAUGAGUCAGGAAGACGUAAAAUAUAUGAAAUAAAUAUCAGUGAAGCCUCUAUUUUGUAUGCAGUGUCAUGCCACUAGAGGGCACUCUCUUUAUGGAAUUACACUGAAGCCAAGUUGGUAUGAAAAGAAAAGAAAAAAAUCUCAUGUCAUUGCCCCAUGGUUGGCCUCUACAAGAACAAACCCCAACACUACGCAGUGCAGGAAUGCUGAGAGAUUACACUUGAUCUCUCAGUAAUAUAUCCAAACAAACUAAUGUCAGUCACAGAGCAGGUUUCUUAAGGACAUGCCAGCCCCGAUACACCUAGAUUACUUUCUCUGCAGAGUAAGUUAAAAAGAGAGUCUCACAUGUCUCCCUGCAUGAGAUCAUGUGCUGACUAUUGUACGCUGUGCUGCCAAAAUAUACAGUAAGGUCUCUAUCAGAAUCAACAUCAACAAGACCAGAGUGUUUUUAGAGCAGGAAAGGUGCUUUAGAUCAGGGAGUGAAAAUUUAUAGUCAUCACAGUGGAAUUGUUUUUGAACCUGCAUCGGUUCCAAAGCAAAGUAGAUCAUUUUUAUGUGGUUUAGUACUAAAAACAUCAAUAUUUGAGCACUUUUUAUGCUCACAGGAUUUGCUUUAAAAGCUCUCUGAUGUGAGGAGAGCACUGAAACAUUUCUCUGAUGUUGUUAAUCUGCAUGUUAACUCAUUCCAAAGACCAGAAUUUAAGUCCCAAGCUUCAUGUCUACAAACAAUACAAUAAGAGGAACCAGUUAGAGCUAGGUAACUUCUUAUUUUGGCGAAUAACUAUAGCAUGACAUUAGCCAUAAGUGCUGUGUAAUGUCCAGUAACACAUAAACAGCCGCAGUAACACCAAACACAGCUGAAGAGGGAAGAUGUGGUCUAAUGUAUCAGUUUAUUUUGGCUGCUUCUUCACCUUUGGACUGUGAAUUUAAAUUUGACUGUGUAAAUAGGAGUGACGUAGCUGGUCUUGAGAUAGUGAAAAAUAACCUGCUGUUUAAUUAGCUGACAUAGGCAAAGCAGUGGUUUAAUAGGUGAAGCAAUGUUUUAAUAAAUGUACAUGUUUUACACACAGAUGGUAUUUAGAUUUCCUGGAAUGUAUGAACAGUAACGCCUCUUUCAAACAUUCACUUUUAAAGUUAUCUCAACGUUUUUAGAAGUUUUGCCCCUGAAGCUUCCCAAGUUUCUGUUUUAUAAUUGUCCCCUGAUUGCCUGUAGCCUUCCCUAUCAGAUGAGGGGCGUGGUGUGGUAAAGAGAUGGAAGUGCAGACAUCUUUGCUCUUAUCGUUAGAGAAAUGGCCUUCCUACUUCAACCUCAGAUGAAGUUUUGUGGAAGUAAAAGGCUCCAGUGAGCUUAUUGCAUUUGUUGAGUUAGAGUACAAACCUCCAUCAACUACAAGGGUGUUAAAAUGUAUGAGGGAAGCGCAGGACGAUGGAGGAUUGUCUUGCAAAGUGUUGACAAAGUAGCUCUCACCACAGACUCAUGAACAGGUCUCACCACAGAAUUGUACCUUACCUUUACUUUUUAUUUCAUUCACUACUCAGACACACCUGACUGGUAAAACAUGUAUAAGUUGAUUACUUGUUCAGUGAAGUGUAUCACAAUGAUGCAAUUGGACUAAUAUAAGACCUACUGGAGAUAAGGUGUGAAAUUGUGAGUGUGCUUGUACGCACGUAGUAACUGACUAAUUAGAAGGGGGAACUUUAAGAAGGAGGGUGUGCAUAAGUGAAUUGAAAUAAAAUAGGGGAACUUCAAAGUUUUGUGAAAAGUAUCAAAGAGAGUGAAUAGGAAAACACGGCCUGAAAAAAUGUAGAAGGAAAUUCAACAGGAGAUAAUGACAUCAGAGAGAUAAGAUCAGAGCUUAAUUCUUAAUAAUUGAAAACAGAAAGUUCACAUGGGGACUAAAUAAAAGACAGAAAACAAGUCGAUUCGGACAUGGACGGACGGAGGUAAACACAUAAACCUGUGGUUUUGGUGAGUAUGUAUUUCUUUUAUUAAUGAGCAGCAAAGAAAACAUGGCAUGAUCAUUUUUUUUACAUUUUGAGGUUUUGGUCAGUUGACAUUUAGACUUUUGUGUUAUUCGAGUCUCAACUUAAGACUUUUACCCGGGAUAUUAUAAGUGCAGUUCUAGAGCAAAAGAGAUAAUUCACUAAAAUACUGAUUUCACAUUCAUCUGGCUUGUACAUAUGAGAACUGCUGGGCCUAGUGUGUUGAAGAAUGUCUAACAAAGCCUUCUCUUAAUUUGGGAAAUUUAGCUGCACCUGUUUAAAAACAUGGAUUAAAGUGUUAUUUGCCAUACAAUGUCUUUAUGUACCAGCCAUUGUAGCUUAAUAUUAGGUUAUGAAACAACUAUUGAAGUCUGUUUAAUGGUUUAGUCAUCUCAUUUUUCCAUAUUACAUUAAUGCAAAACACAUUCAAAGUGCUCAUGCAGCCUAAGGUACAGUUAAGUACUUUUUGUGGUUGAAUUUUCCAGCCCUAUCACAUUACAACAUUAUGGGGUUUUGAUCACUAGACAUUCAUACAUGUGUACUAUUCGAGUAUGGAAGCAAAUUUGUGUCAUAAUUCAAAUGAAACUAGAUUAUCAGAAAUGCAUUUGCAUUUUCACAAUGCACCUGCACUUCUUGACUCAUAGAUAAAAUUGAAAAUAAAUAAUCCAAACUGCAAUUGCUUUCUCUUUU